AGUAGGGUAAGCUAAGCACAAGCUGUUGGGCUCAUAACCCAAAAAUAGACUCCACUCUCCCUACCA
rnacentral:tRNA from 1 species